rnacentral:lncRNA from 1 species
AAAAAACAAUUGUAUUGGUUUUUUUUUCAGCCAUUGAUUGAUUUUAAUCAAAGGCUCACAGUCAAUCUUCUCUCUAUCUGCGUCCUCCUUUCCUAUUGGACAAUCCAUCAAAAUUGGGAUUAUUAUUUCUGGCCAUUGAUUAAUUGUAAUCCAGUGGCCAAGAAUCAAUCUUGUUCAUUUCUCUUCCUUUGUACGCUUUCUCUCUCUCUUUCUUCUUUUCAAGCCGACACCAUCUCCUUCUUCGAUGUCUUCUCUGUUUCUCUAUUAUGGUUGUUUGAGCUCUAAUUGCAUCUGUUUGUGUUUAUUGCAGAAGAGGACAGACAGAGGAGACAGAGAGAAAUAUAUUAGACGAAGGCGAUUGUGUUGAAGUGGAGAAAUCAGAUUCGGAGCUGAAGUCUCUGAACGGCGAGAAUUGGUGUGGAAGAGGCGAAGAUUGCGGUGAGAUAAUGAAGUAGAAGAGGAAGAGGCGAAGGUUGUGGUCGAUCUGCACGAGCACCGAACACCUGAGGUGUACAUCGGAUCUGGAAAGAUGACGACGACAGCGCGAGCAGGUCCAAGCUUGGUGAGGAAGAAGCUGGAAGAGAGAGAGAGAGAGAGCUCUGAUAUUUCUGGAAGACGAUGACGAUGGAGGCGAGCAGGUCGGAUCUCCGGUGAGGAAGCAACGAUGACACAGGAAGGAGAAGUGGUGGAGUGGUCGUGCGGCGGUGAGGUGGUGCGACGGAAAUAUAUAUAUAUAUGUAUCAUAUAUUAAUAUGUAUAAUAUAUUAAUGUAAAUUUAUAUACAGAUUUUGUAUUUUAUUAAUAAAAUUUGUUUUGUUUU